ensembl:lncRNA
CUGGAUUCUAUAUUAUUUUUAUCAAAUAAUGGCUCUACUGUUUUGAAGGAAAUACUUUUAUAAUAUAAACAUUUAAUUACUUUAUUGACUUUGUAUUUCUGUGAAGGUAACAAACCCCAUGAUUUCCCUGUUCUAAAGUAAGAAAGACAAUGAGAUUUCUAAUUGAGCAGCUAUAGUCUAAUGCCUUCAAAAACAGAAAAACUGCACUGCAAAGAUAUUCAGGACACCAUAAUUUUCAGUUUGCAAACCUGCAGUCUUCUUGGUUACCAUACCAAGCACAUUUCUUAUGUGAUAUACCUGGAGGAUCCAUCGCUGGGUUAUAUCUGUGAUCUUUGCUCUUCAUUUACAGAAAUACAGCUUAGGAGAAACAUCCAGGAGGCAUAGUUAGAAGAACCUCAGUUAUGUUUGGACUUGCCUUUAGACUGUCCAGCCACUGUACUACUUGUUCUACUGCAAAUCAGAAGCUCCAGCAAUUCUGUUGUUUCACACUGCAGUGUUCCUCGAUUUUAUGUAUAAAGUAGCUACGUACCUUCUCAGUGUGUGGGGUGUGUUGUUGCUCUGUGGGUAGAGUUCUUCCAUGCUGUUCAUCUAAACCCUCCAGUUCUUAUCUUCUGCAGAAGCAGCAUUGGAUUUUUAUCAGUGGAUACUGUGCUAGGGGCCUAAUUAUACUUGAUGCUACACAAGAAAUCACAAGUUGUGUGUGCAGUCAAAUAUAGCUUGACAGAUGUCAGUGUACAGAUUACCAUGGAUUUGGGGAGGUUGUUUGCUUUUAUUUUGCUGAUGAGUAGGCAACUAUUUCAUUUGUCCUUUAGAACAGAAGCUCGACAAGGAGAAUAUCUACUGUCCUGUGAACGCAAGCAGAAGUUUCAGACCGGCCUCUAACUUUUGCCAGCCGCUAGAGACUUCAUCUUCCUCCCUCAGAACUGGGACUGCUGGUUGUGCGCCUGCCUCUAUUAGUGCAUGCAUUUAAAUCACUACAUUAAUCCCUGUGACUGAGAUUUAGUGAGGGAGAGCGCUCUGCAAAGCUCUUUUUGAACCACUGUCUUAAUGCAUUAAUCUGCAAGGUGGCUCUGGAACGUGACUGACUUGAGCAAGAGAAGAGGAAGACUUUCCAUGUUCCCUUUCCCAUUUGAGGAUCUUCAGGAGCCUUUCAAGGGGAGAACUAAAACCUUCCAGAUAAGAACGGAGCAGCGUGCAUCGCUCUUCAAGAAACCCCAUAGCCUUUACAUAGGUGGGUGCAGGAGCAGUGUGCAAACAGAUGCUGGCCUCCACAGCCACUGGGGCCUGGAGAGCUAAUGGGAUGCAUCACCUGCUGGGCUCAGCUCAAGCUGCUCCCUCUCAACCGAGUGGCAGCAAGUGGGGAAUGUCAUGAAGCAUCAGACUCAGCCUUGUCCGAUUCCUUCUGCCUUUGUGCUCUCCCCAUUGAAAGGACAAGAAUGGCAUCCUUGAGGUAUUUCGGUGCAUCCCUUUGAGGAUGCUGCUGGAGGAAGUGGCCUCCUGCAGCCCCCAUGGUCAGGAAUGAGGGCCCACAUGUGCCCCUGCAGCUGCUGGGCGAGCUGAUCGCUUCCGCUCGCGUGCGUGGCACAGUGAUUGCUCAGAUUGCAUCUGCCUCAUGUGCAGCACUAAAGAGGCUUCAUCAUCUGCUUUGAUGCGCUUUCUGGGAUCCCCUGCUUGAUGUCGAUGUUUUCCUCCCUGGCAAGGAGCCAGCAUUUUGUUUACCUCUUAGAAGAAGAUUCAUUAAUGUGUUUUUCCUGUUCUAGUUUGUUUGUGUCAUUUACCCUGAGCAGGCAAUUUUGCUUUCCUCCUACUUUCCUCUUUUCUUUUCUUUUCUUUUCUUUUCUUUUCUUUUC